rnacentral:lncRNA from 1 species
UUUCUUUCAUUUUAUUCCUGUUUAUUAUCUUGUAAUCUGUUAAACAAAUUUUUAGUGGAACUGUUAAUCACUCUUUGUAGUGAUUAACGACUGGACGUAGAUUCUGUUGAAUCGAACCAGUAUAAAAAUCCUUGUGUGAUUUUCUUUUGCCCUAUACUCAUUUUAUUAUUAACGCAUGUUAUCUGCUUGGUAAAUUUUCUGAAAGAAAAUUGUUUAAACUUAAAAAGGCAAAAUUGUUUCAACUGUGACUUGUUACGCUGUACGCUCUCUGUGUUUUAAUCCGCUGCGCUAAACUCUUUAAAAAAUUAACCCCU